AAAACUUUACAAUGCGGGCACCCGUGAUAAGGAACCWCCGAGUGCCYGYAAAGGCGGGCUGUCCRUUUGUUUAAAAAACUAGUGAAGAAAGGGCCGGGCAAGACCGGUGCCAGCCGCCGCGGUAAUACCGGCGGCUCGAGUGGUGGCCGCUUUUACUGGGCUUAAAGGGUCCGUAGCUGGUUUGAUAAGUCUCUUGAGAAAUCUAUCGGCUUAACUGAUAGGCGUUCARGGGAWACUGUCDUUCUAGGGACCGGGAGAGGUGAGAGGUACUCCMGGGGUAGGAGUGAAAUCCUGUAAUCCCUGUGGGACCACCUAUGGCGAAGGCGUCUCACCAGAACGGCUCCGACAGUGAGGGACGAAAGCUGGGGGAGCAAACCGGAUUAGAUACCCGGGUAGUCCCAGCUGUAAACGAUGCGCGUUAGGUGURUCAGUGACCACGAGUCACUGAGGUGCCGAAGRGAAAUCGUGAAUCGCUCCGCCUGG
rnacentral:rRNA from 1 species